CCUACGGGUGGCAGCAGUGGGGGAUAUUGCACAAUGGAGGAAACUCUGAUGCAGCGACGCCGCGUGAGGGAAGACGGUCUUCGGAUUGUAAACCUCUGUCUUUGGGGAAGAAAAUGACGGUAUCCAAAGAGGAAGCUCCGGCUAACUACGUGCCAGCAGCCGCGGUAAUACGUAGGGUGCGAGCGUUGUCCGGAAUUACUGGGCGUAAAGGGAGCGUAGGCGGGCGAGAAAGUUGAAUGUUAAAUCUACGGGCUUAACUGGGAGCUGCGUUUAAAACUUCUUGUCUUGAGUGAAGUAGAGGCAGGCGGAAUUCCUGGUGUAGCGGUAAAAUGCGUAGAGAUUAAGAGGAACACCCGUUGCGAAGGCGGCCUGCUGGGCCUUAACUGACGCUGAGGCUCGAAAGCGUGGGGAGCAAACAGGAUUAGAUACCCCAGUAGUU
rnacentral:rRNA from 1 species